UACGUAGGUGACAAGCGUUGUCCGGAUUUAUUGGGCGUAAAGAGCUCGUAGGCGGUUCGUCGCGUCGGCUGUGAAAUCCCGAGGCUCAACCUCGGGUCUGCAGUCGAUACGGGCGGACUGGAGUUCGGCAGGGGAGACUGGAAUUCCUGGUGUAGCGGUGAAAUGCGCAGAUAUCAGGAGGAACACCGGUGGCGAAGGCGGGUCUCUGGGCCGUAACUGACGCUGAGGAGCGAAAGCGUGGGGAGCGAACAGG
rnacentral:rRNA from 1 species